GGUAGCUCAGUGGUAGAGUGCAUGCCUUGCAAGCAUGAGGCCCUGGGUUUGAUUCUUCAGUACCA
rnacentral:tRNA from 1 species